UACGUAGGGGGCAAGCGUUGUCCGGAAUUAUUGGGCGUAAAGAGCGUGUAGGCGGUCCGGUAAGUCAGCUGUGAAAGUCAAGGGCUCAACCCUUGAAAGCCGGUUGAUACUGUCGGGCUAGAGUCCGGAAGAGGCGAGUGGAAUUCCCGGUGUAGCGGUGAAAUGCGCAGAUAUCGGGAGGAACACCAAUGGCGAAGGCAGCUCGCUGGGACGGUACUGACGCUGAGGCGCGAAAGCGUGGGGAGCAAACAGG
rnacentral:rRNA from 1 species